UACGGAGGGUGCGAGCGUUGUUCGGAAUUAUUGGGCGUAAAGCGCGUGUAGGCGGCUCCUUAAGUCUGAUGUGAAAGCCCCGGGCUCAACCCGGGAAGUGCAUUGGAAACUGGGGAACUUGAAUACGGGAGAGGGUAGUGGAAUUCCUGGUGUAGGAGUGGAAUCCGUAGAUAUCAGGAGGAACACCGGUGGCGAAGGCGGAUCUCUGGGCCAUAACUGACGCUGAGGAGCGAAAGCAUGGGGAGCGAACAGG
rnacentral:rRNA from 1 species